rnacentral:lncRNA from 1 species
AUUUAUACCCCAGCUUUCUCCGGAAAAGGACUCAAAGCAGCCUAUGUUAUUAAAAACAGUUUUAAGAUAUUUAAAAAAUAAAUUGUUCCACAUUAUUUCUUAGUCCUUCAGGUGACACAAUUCCUCCUUGUUUUUGCUCCAGCCGACUAAAAGAACUAUCCCGCAGAAAAAUGAUUCCCAUCUGCGUUCUCCUCAGCAAGAAUUUGCAACGACACGGCUUCUGGUUAAACGCAUGGAACCUAAAUGGACGAUGGAGCUCAGCACCUCGGGAUGGGAGGCUGGGAAACCGCGCCGGAGCGCGAGCUUCGCAGUCGGGAAGCACCGCUCGUUCCCUUCACACAACCUCCAAACAAAUUGAACUGGAGGCCUGAGGGUGGGCGGGGAGGUGCGGGCGUCUUAAUUGCUUAAAAUCAUCCCUCCCCUGCACGUCCUACAUAAAAAAGAAACUGCAGGGAAGGCAGAACAGGAAAUGAGAGACGACUGGUUCGCUCCUGUCCCUCUUCCAAAUAAGAUCGUGCCCGCCCCCGUCGUCGUGCCUAACCCCCGCCUCCUUUGAACCCGUCCUAUUGAGACCAUCCCUACGGAAACGCUUUGCUAUUCCUUCCUUCGAACACCCGUCCCUCCCCCCGCCCAGGUUGCUGCGAUGGUUUGCUUCGCUUAGUGCCUCCGCCGGUCUUCCUGUCCACCCCUUCCACGAGGACACGGUGGUAUAUUCCUCUGGCACAGCACCGAGGCUUGGGAGGCUUCCAGUCCUCUUCUAGCAAAGAGCUGCUGCUGCUGCCGCCGCCGGCGCGCUGGUUGGGGGCUUAGAGAGGAAAAGAGGAGGCCCGCCGGUGCUGGAGAGGCAGGAGCCGGGGACUGGCACCAGGCCGCCUUCCUCCUCCCGCCCUCAUUCUCUUGGCUGGCAUGACACUUUUUGGCAGCAGCGAAAGGUGCUGGAGAUAUCUAGACAUGGCCCAUGAACCCAAGCUAAGUCAUACCAGGCCUAGUCAGAAGAGGCAACAUGGUGGAGGCCUAUAUCCGGUUUAUGAGUACCCAGAGAUCCCCCCUCUCAUCAGUUACAUUCCUGUCAAGAUCAGGCGGAGACACCUAGGGGCACGGAGCAAGACCAGCCUAGGCCCACAUACAGCGCUAAGAGGAAGCAGCAAUUCCACAACAGGCACUACAAAAUGUGCCAAGGAAGGCAAGAAGAAAGCUUUAACCGGUGGAGAGGUGUCAUCCCAAGCAGGAGAGCCUAGCCAGAAGAAGGAAAGCACAGACGACGACACCCACGCUGCCCUGCCUUAUUUUGACAGUGCAGAGGAGAGCACAGACACUGAAGAGGCGGCAAGGAAUCACACACUUGAUCUUGAAGGCAGCAACUAA